AUACGGAGGGUGCAAGCGUUAUUCGGAAUCACUGGGCGUAAAGGACGCGUAGGCGGGUCGGCAAGUCAGAUGUGAAAUCCUACAGCUUAACUGUAGAACUGCAUUUGAAACUGCUAACCUAGAGUAUGGGAGGGGGAGAUGGAAUUAGUGGUGUAGGGGUAAAAUCCGUAGAUAUCACUAGGAAUACCGAAAGCGAAGGCGAUCUCCUGGAACAUAACUGACGCUAAGGCGUGAAAGCGUGGGGAGCAAACAGGAUUAGAAACCCUAGUAGUCC
rnacentral:rRNA from 1 species